CAGCAAUGCGUGGCAUACGGCUCAGUAACACGUAGUCAACAUGCCCAGGGGACGUGGAUAACCUCGGGAAACUGAGGAUAAACCGCGAUAGGCCAAGGUUUCUGGAAUGGACACUGGCUGAAACCUAUAUGGCCCCUGGAUUGGACUGCGGCCGAUCAGGCUGUUGGUGAGGUAAUGGCCCACCAAACCUGUAACCGGUACGGGCUUUGAGAGAAGGAGCCCGGAGAUGGGCACUGAGACAAGGGCCCAGGCCCUAUGGGGCGCAGCAGGCGCGAAAAUUCUGCAAUAGGCGAAAGCUUGACAGAGUUACUCUGAGUGAUGCCCGCUAAGGGCAUCUUUUGGCACCUCUAAAAAUGGUGCAGAAUAAGGGGUGGGCAAGUCUGGUGUCAGCCGCCGCGGUAAUACCAGCACCCCGAGUGGUCGGGACGAUUAUUGGGCCUAAAGCAUCCGUAGCUUGUUCUGCAAGUCUUCCGUUAAAUCCACCUGCUCAACAGAUGGGCUGCGGGAGAUACUACAGGGCUAGGAGGCGGGAGAGGCAAGCGGUACUCAGUGGGUAGGGGUAAAAUCCUCUGAUCCACUGAAGACCACCAGUGGCGAAGGCGGCUUGCCAGAACGCGCUCGACGGUGAGGGAUGAAAGCUGGGGGAGCAAACCGGA
rnacentral:rRNA from 1 species